CAGGUUCACAAGGCAACAAGGUCCCGCCUUUGCAGUCAGCUUAGUGUAACUGUCAGUGGCCCAGGCAAUUUCAAGUCAGCCUAUAAGGUUAAUUUGUCUGCAGUUUUCUCUGCACAAAAGCCCCCGGCAUGGAAGAAAGGAGCCUCUUGACAUCUGUGAAAUUAGUGGAUGUGAAUACAAAAGAAGAGGAGGAAGAAUGGUCUCUCACCUAUUUCUGCAAGCCAAAACCUUCCUUGAAGAGUUGCAGUGGUGGUAUCAGAACACGCUGAUUUAGUUAUAAAUUCAAAAGGACAGAAGAGCUUACACCGGGAUCAUUGAAGCAUUUGCUUCCACCCAUAACCAAAGAAUCACACCGUUGAACUCUUCAGCCUCUGUGGGCCUUUUGAAGGUAGGAUGAAUGUAUUGUAUUUAUUGCCAUGUAUCAUCUCAUUAUAAAACCAAGAUGA
rnacentral:lncRNA from 1 species